UACGUAGGGUGCAAGCGUUAUCCGGAAUUAUUGGGCGUAAAGAGCUCGUAGGCGGUUUGUCGCGUCUGUCGUGAAAGUCCGGGGCUCAACUCCGGAUCUGCGGUGGGUACGGGCAGACUAGAGUGAUGUAGGGGAGACUGGAAUUCCUGGUGUAGCGGUGGAAUGCGCAGAUAUCAGGAGGAACACCGAUGGCGAAGGCAGGUCUCUGGGCAUUAACUGACGCUGAGGCGCGAAAGCCAGGGGAGCGAACGGG
rnacentral:rRNA from 1 species